rnacentral:lncRNA from 1 species
AAUCCGAACAAUCCACACACGCAGGAUCGCUUCUCGGUCGUCCGAUCGCAGGGUACGCGGAUCACCAGCGUGGCCUCCCGCGUGGCACCAAGUCAACGUGCCUUGCCACGCGACGCGCUCCGAUUCGUUGAGGCUGCUGAAUGGCAGUCCUAUGUGAUCAAAAUUUUCUUAUUUACAUUCUGACCUCUAGAAUCUAAUUU